UGGGGAAUAUUGGACAAUGGGCGAAAGCCUGAUCCAGCCAUGCCGCGUGUGUGAAGAAGGUCUUCGGAUUGUAAAGCACUUUAAGUUGGGAGGAAGGGCAUUAACCUAAUACGUUAGUGUUUUGACGUUACCGACAGAAUAAGCACCGGCUAACUCUGUGCCAGCAGCCGCGGUAAUACAGAGGGUGCAAGCGUUAAUCGGAAUUACUGGGCGUAAAGCGCGCGUAGGUGGUUUGUUAAGUUGGAUGUGAAAUCCCCGGGCUCAACCUGGGAACUGCAUUCAAAACUGACUGACUAGAGUAUGGUAGAGGGUGGUGGAAUUUCCUGUGUAGCGGUGAAAUGCAUAGAUAUAGGAAGGAACACCAGUGGCGAAGGCGACCACCUGGACUAAUACUGACACUGAGGUGCGAAAGCGUGGGGAGCAAACA
rnacentral:rRNA from 1 species